rnacentral:lncRNA from 12 species
GGCGUGUGUCCAGGCCAGGGCCCUGGGUGCACACAGUCCUUCCCUGGAGCCUGUGGACAGGGGUGUGUUGUGUCCCUGUGUGCACAUACCAUUGCCUGCAGGGAGUGGGGGCGUCGGCAGCACGAGCACUGCCCCUGCAGCUUCCUCCAGGAGUGGGUUAGGGAGCGGGUCCCAGGAAGUGAGGUCACUUCCGUGUCACAGAGCCUAACAGAACUUGGAACCCCCCCAACCAGGCACAUGCAUCCAGUGCAGCCCCAGCUCAGGCUCACUUGGCUGGAGACAUCUGCUACUGAAGGAUGUUCUCUUGCUGCCAGCCCACCUCUGGGGGCUCUGGUUCCCAGAAACCCCAGGGGUGCGGCUUGUUCCAAUGCUCUAGGCAUUGGCUCCAGCAUAGAUACCAAGGCGUCAGGGCGGUGAUCAGGAGGCGCCGUCAGCGCAGGGACGUCAUCUCCAUUUGCAGCUUCUUAGACGACUAUCGUGGAUUCGCCACCACGGAGGAGGUGCUGGACCUGCUGUUCACCGAAUAUGGGUACAUCGUAGCUGCAUGUGGUGACGACGACACGGUCCAGCGUUGGAAACUGUGAGUGACUCCGGCUCCUGCAGGAGGGCCUUCCCUCUCCAGGAGGGCAGCGAAGGGGCUGUGGGGCGGGGGGGCGGCUGCACCCUCACCUCACACAUCUGCAAUUCCUGUGACAGAGUAAAGGUCUAAGGCCCCUUCUGGAAAAGAGGGCAGGAGAGCCAGGAUGGGGUGCGGUCUUGGUGGGAGACACUGGGACCCCUAAGGAGAACUUCUCCAUGCCCCCCAACCCUCUCUCUGCCCCACACCUGGGGCCCAGAGCAGAGGGGGUGGGGAGCAUCGCACUCCCCAAUCUGGUGGCACCUGGACCAGGGGGCACAGCAGGUGCUCAGGAGGGCUGGUGAGGCCUCCAGACCAGGCGGCCCCCACCCUGUGGGAGAUGAGAGAUUAGAGUCAGUGGAAGGACACCCCCGGGGGCCCCUCUGGAGGGAGGCAGGCCAGAGCCACAGGAGGGAAGGUGGCGGUCCUGGGCGGCUCCUGGCAAGGCCUGGCAGGACACAAAGCCCGAGCCCUCCUGCCUUGGAGCUUCCCAGAGCGACAGUGUGUGCAGUGAGGGCAAUGACAGGCCAGACGCCACCAGUC